rnacentral:rRNA from 1 species
UACGGAGGGUGCGAGCGUUGUCCGGAAUCACUGGGCGUAAAGGGCGCGUAGGCGGCCUGAUAAGUAGGGGGUGAAAUCCUGCGGCUUAACCGCAGGGCUGCCUUCUAAACUGUCAGGCUCGAGCACAGUAGAGGCAGGUGGAAUUCCCGGUGUAGCGGUGGAAUGCGUAGAGAUCGGGAAGAACAUCGGUGGCGAAGGCGGUUCUCUGGGCCUGACCUGACGCUGAGGAGCGAAAGCGUGGGGAGCGAACAGG